rnacentral:rRNA from 1 species
CCUACGGGAGGCAGCAGUGAGGAAUAUUGGUCAAUGGGCGAGAGCCUGAACCAGCCAAGUCGCGUGAAGGAUGACUGCCCUACGGGUUGUAAACUUCUUUUGUCAGGGAGCAAAUGGGUCCACGCGUGGGCUUAGCGAGAGUACCUGAAGAAAAAGCAUCGGCUAACUCCGUGCCAGCAGCCGGGGUAAUACGGAGGACGCGAGCGUUAUCCGGAUUUAUUGGGUUUAAAGGGUGCGUAGGCGGACUAUAAAGUCGGCGGUAAAAAUUGGGGGCUCAACCCCGUCGUGCCGUUGAAACUGGUGGUCUUGAGUGGGCGAGAGGUAUGCGGAAUGCGUGGUGUAGCGGUGAAAUGCAUAGAUAUCACGCAGAACUCCGAUUGCGAAGGCAGCAUACCGGCGCCCAACUGACGCUGAGGCACGAAAGCGUGGGUAUCGAACAGGAUUAGAUACCCCUGUAGUC